AACGCACGAGACCUGCGGACCUGCGGAGGGAUCAUUAUCGAAUAACACUGGGCUUCGGUUGUUGCUGGCUCCCUAGGAGUAUGUGCACACCCAAGUCCAUCGUUCUUUAACCACCUGUGCACACUGUGUAGAUCUGAAACCUAUCGAGUUGUGAAAGGCUCGGAUUGAGAAGUGGCUUAUGCCAGCAAGCUUUAGCUCUUCUUGUAUUUCAGGUUCUAUGUCUUGACAUACUCCGUAAAU
rnacentral:misc_RNA from 1 species